rnacentral:rRNA from 1 species
AUUGAACGCUGGCGGCAUGCUUUACACAUGCAAGUCGAACGGUAACAGGCCUUCGGGCGCUGACGAGUGGCGAACGGGUGAGUAAUGCAUCGGAACGUGCCCAGUCGUGGGGGAUAACGCAGCGAAAGCUGUGCUAAUACCGCAUACGAUCUGCGGAUGAAAGCGGGGGACCUUCGGGCCUCGCGCGAUUGGAGCGGCCGAUGUCAGAUUAGGUAAUUGGUGGGGUAAAGGCUCACCAAGCCAACGAUCUGUAGCUGGUCUGAGAGGACGACCAGCCACACUGGGACGUAGACACGGCCCAGACUCCUACGGGAGGCAGCAGUGGGGAAUUUUGGACAAUGGGCGCAAGCCUGAUCCAGCAAUGCCGCGUGCAGGAAGAAGGCCUUCGGGUUGUAAACUGCUUUUGUACGGAGCGAAAAGGCUCCCUCUAAUACAGGGGGCUCAUGACGGUACCGUAAGAAUAAGCACCGGCUAACUACGUGCCAGCCGCCGCCGUAAGAC